UGCCAGCAGCCGCGGUAAUACGUAGGGAGCAAGCGUUGUCCGGAAUUACUGGGCGUAAAGCGUGCGUAGGCGGUUCAUUAAGUCGGAUGUGAAAGCCCUGGGCUCAACCUGGGACGUGCAUUCGAUACUGAUGAACUAGAGUCUGAAAGAGGUUGGCGGAAUUCCCGGUGUAGCGGUGAAAUGCGUAGAUAUCGGGAGGAACAUCAGUGGCGAAGGCGGCUGACUGGUUCAAGACUGACGCUGAGGCACGAAAGCGUGGGGAGCAAACAGGAUUAGAUA
rnacentral:rRNA from 1 species